UCAGUUAUCGUUUAUUGAUAGUACCUUACUACUUGGAUAACCCGUGGUAAUUCUAGAGCUAAUACAUGCUUAAAACCCCAACUUCGGGAGGGGUGUAUUUAUUAGAUAAAAAACCAACGCCCUUCGGGGCUUCUUGGUGAUUCAUGAUAACUUUACGGAUCGCAUGGCCUUGCGCCGGCGACGGUUCAUUCAAAUUUCUGCCCUAUCAACUUUCGAUGGUAAGGUAUUGGCUUACCAUGGUUUCAACGGGUAACGGGGAAUUAGGGUUCGAUUCCGGAGAGGGAGCCUGAGAAACGGCUACCACAUCCAAGGAAGGCAGCAGGCGCGCAAAUUACCCAAUCCCGACACGGGGAGGUAGUGACAAUAAAUACUGAUACAGGGCUCUUUUGGGUCUUGUAAUUGGAAUGAGUACAAUUUAAACCUCUUAACGAGGAACAAUUGGAGGGCAAGUCUGGUGCCAGCAGCCGCGGUAAUUCCAGCUCCAAUAGCGUAUAUUAAAGUUGUUGCAGUUAAAAAGCUCGUAGUUGAAACUUGGGUCUGGCUGGCAGGUCCGCCUCACCGCGUGUACUUGUCCGGCCGGGCCUUCCUUCUGGAGAACCUCAUGCCCUUCACUGGGCGUGUUGGGGACCAGGACUUUUACUUUGAAAAAAUUAGAGUGUUCAAAGCAGGCCUUUGCUCGAAUACGUUAGCAUGGAAUAAUAGAAUAGGACGUGCGGUCCUAUUUUGUUGGUUUCUAGGACCGCCGUAAUGAUUAAUAGGGACAGUCGGGGGCAUCAGUAUUCAAUUGUCAGAGGUGAAAUUCUUGGAUUUAUUGAAGACUAACUACUGCGAAAGCAUUUGCCAAGGAUGUUUUCAUUAAUCAGUGAACGAAAGUUAGGGGAUCGAAGACGAUCAGAUACCGUCGUAGUCUUAACCGUAAACUAUGCCGACUAGGGAUCGGGCGAUGUUCUUUUUCUGACUCGCUCGGCACCUUACGAGAAAUCAAAGUUUUUGGGU
rnacentral:rRNA from 1 species